rnacentral:rRNA from 1 species
AGAGUUUGAUCAUGGCUCAGGAUGAACGCAGGCGGCGUGCCUAACACAUGCAAGUCGAGCGAUUCUCUUCGGAGAAGAGCGGCGGACGGGUGAGUAACGCGUGGGUAACCUGCCUUGUACACACGGAUAACAUACCGAAAGGUAUGCUAAUACGAGAUAAUAUACUUUUAUCGCAUGGUAGAAGUAUCAAAGCUCCGGCGGUACAGGAUGGACCCGCGUCUGAUUAGCUAGUUGGUAAGGUAACGGCUUACCAAGGCGACGAUCAGUAGCCGACCUGAGAGGGUGAUCGGCCACAUUGGAACUGAGACACGGUCCAAACUCCUACGGGAGGCAGCAGUGGGGAAUAUUGCACAAUGGGCGAAAGUCUGAUGCAGCAACGCCGCGUGAGCGAUGAAGGCCUUCGGGUCGUAAAGCUCUGUCCUCAAGGAAGAUAAUGACGGUACUUGAGGAGGAAGCCCCGGCUAACUACGUGCCAGCAGCCGCGGUAAUACGUAGGGGGCUAGCGUUAUCCGGAAUUACUGGGCGUAAAGGGUGCGUAGGUGGUUUCUUAAGUCAGAGGUGAAAGGCUACGGCUCAACCGUAGUAAGCCUUUGAAACUGGGAAACUUGAGUGCAGGAGAGGAGAGUGGAAUUCCUAGUGUAGCGGUGAAAUGCGUAGAUAUUAGGAGGAACACCAGUUGCGAAGGCGGCUCUCUGGACUGUAACUGACACUGAGGCACGAAAGCGUGGGGAGCAAACAGGAUUAGAUACCCUGGUAGUCCACGCCGUAAACGAUGAGUACUAGCUGUUGGAGGUUACCCCCUUCGGUGGCGCAGCUAACGCAUUAAGUACUCCGCCUGGGAAGUACGCUCGCAAGAGUGAAACUCAAAGGAAUUGACGG